UCUUCCCUCUUGCUUCGUGCCUAAUACAUGCAAGUCGAGCGAACAGACGAGGAGCUUGCUCCUCUGACGUUAGCGGCGGACGGGUGAGUAACACGUGGAUAACCUACCUAUAAGACUGGGAUAACUUCGGGAAACCGGAGCUAAUACCGGAUAAUAUAUUGAACCGCAUGGUUCAAUAGUGAAAGACGGUUUUGCUGUCACUUAUAGAUGGAUCCGCGCCGCAUUAGCUAGUUGGUAAGGUAACGGCUUACCAAGGCGACGAUGCGUAGCCGACCUGAGAGGGUGAUCGGCCACACUGGAACUGAGACACGGUCCAGACUCCUACGGGAGGCAGCAGUAGGGAAUCUUCCGCAAUGGGCGAAAGCCUGACGGAGCAACGCCGCGUGAGUGAUGAAGGUCUUCGGAUCGUAAAACUCUGUUAUUAGGGAAGAACAAAUGUGUAAGUAACUAUGCACGUCUUGACGGUACCUAAUCAGAAAGCCACGGCUAACUACGUG
rnacentral:rRNA from 1 species